GAAGAGGUCUUCUGCAAAGCCAGAGGACUAAGAUGACACGAAAUACCCAAAACUAAGGUCUAAAUGUUCAGUACCAGAUCCACUCAUCCCUCAAAAGAUUAUUCAAGGCUUUUCAGGCUUGAAAAAGAACAAUGAAAUCUCCAUGCGUCAUUCAUAUUUGGCACUGCCUGAUUCCAGCCAGGAGCAGAUCCGCAGGGUUACCACAGGUUAACUUCUUGCAUUCAUAACUGGCGUAUGGAAAGUCUCAUUAACUUGUCUUAAAAAAAUGCAAAAGGAGACAAUUCAUAGAGACGACGAGCUGGUAGAGAGAAAGGGAAAGAAAACCUUCCCCAUUUAAAACACUGCAGACACUAAAAUUUGUCCUGUGAAUUUACACAUUCUUUUCUUUACAUUUCAUUUUUGCCACAUGACCUAUUCUAAAGGUCUUCAUUUUUCAAAGCCAAUAAAACAAAGUCAAAAAAGAUGAAAGAAAAGAAGAUAAAAGAAAGGGGUAUGAAUCCCUGAAAGGCUGUAAAGUUUCAAAUAUUGAAAAGAAUAGCGAAAAUUAAAAAAAAAAACAAUUAAGUAACAAUUUCAGCUUCAAAAGUAGGUUAUUCUCCCUUAAAAGAAGUGCAAAAGUAUCUCAGAGUCAUAGGGUGCUGAAAAACAAACAAAA